UACGUAGGUGGCAAGCGUUAUCCGGAUUUAUUGGGCGUAAAGGGAACGCAGGCGGUCUUUUAAGUCUGAUGUGAAGGCCUUCGGCUCAACCGGAGUAGUGCAUUGGAAACUGGGAGACUUGAGUGCAGAAGAGGAGAGUGGAACUCCAUGUGUAGCGGUGAAAUGCGUAGAUAUAUGGAAGAACACCAGUGGCGAAAGCGGCUCUCUGGUCUGUAACUGACGCUGAGGUUCGAAAGCGUGGGUAGCAAACAGG
rnacentral:rRNA from 1 species